GGAAAACGGCCGCUUCGGGCUGGUAGAUUCAAGUCCCGACCGUUCGGACGUUUGGGACCCCAUUCAGUCAUCCGGGAAAACGUCCUCUUCGGGCUGGUAGAUUCAAGUCCCGACCAUUCGGACAUUUGGGACCCCAUUC